rnacentral:rRNA from 1 species
AGUUUGAUCCCUGGUUCAGGACGAAACGCUGGACGUCGUGCCUUAAUACAUGCAAGUCGAAGCGGACCGAUGGGAGCUUGCUCCCUGAAGUUAGCGGCGGACGGGUGAGUAACACGUGGGUAACCUGCCUGUAAGACUGGGAUAACUCCGGGAAACCGGGGCUAAUACCGGAUGGUUGUUUGAACCGCAUGGUUCAAACAUAAAAGGUGGCUUCGGCUACCACUUACAGAUGGACCCGCGGCGCAUUAGCUAGUUGGUGAGGUAACGGCUCACCAAGGCGACGAUGCGUAGCCGACCUGAGAGGGUGAUCGGCCACACUGGGACUGAGACACGGCCCAGACUCCUACGGGAGGCAGCAGUAGGGAAUCUUCCGCAAUGGACGAAAGUCUGACGGAGCAACGCCGCGUGAGUGAUGAAGGUUUUCGGAUCGUAAAGCUCUGUUGUUAGGGAAGAACAAGUACCGUUCGAAUAGGGCGGUACCUUGACGGUACCUAACCAGAAAGCCACGGCUAACUACGUGCCAGCAGCCGCGGUAAUACGUAGGUGGCAAGCGUUGUCCGGAAUUAUUGGGCGUAAAGGGCUCGCAGGCGGUUUCUUAAGUCUGAUGUGAAAGCCCCCGGCUCAACCGGGGAGGGUCAUUGGAAACUGGGGAACUUGAGUGCAGAAGAGGAGAGUGGAAUUCCACGUGUAGCGGUGAAAUGCGUAGAGAUGUGGAGGAACACCAGUGGCGAAGGCGACUCUCUGGUCUGUAACUGACGCUGAGGAGCGAAAGCGUGGGGAGCGAACAGGAUUAGAUACCCUGUUAGUCCACGCCGUAAACGAUGAGUGGUAAGUGUUAGGGAGUUUCGCGCCCAAUUAGUGCGGCAGCCGAACGGCCAUUUAAGGCACGCCGCCAGGGACCCCAAAUAGAAAAUGGGUUUC